rnacentral:rRNA from 1 species
AUUAACCCAUGCAUGUCUAAGUAUAAACACGCUUAUACUGUGAAACUGCGAAUGGCUCAUUAAAUCAGUUAUAGUUUAUUUGAUGGUUUUUGCUACAUGGAUAACUGUGGUAAUUCUAGAGCUAAUACAUGCGUACAAGCCCCGACUUCUGGAAGGGGUGUAUUUAUUACAUAAAAAUCAACACUGUUGGAGAAUCAUGAUAACUUCUCGGAUCGCAUGGCCUCGUGCUGGCGAUACUUCAUUCAAAUAUCUGCCCUAUCAACUGUCGAUGGUAGGAUAGAGGCCUACCAUGGUUGCAACGGGUAACGGGGAAUAAGGGUUCGAUUCCGGAGAGGGAGCCUGAGAAACGGCUACCACAUCCAAGGAAAGCAGCAGGCGCGCAAAUUACCCGAUCCCGACACGGGGAGGUAGUGACAAUAUGUAACAAUAUACGGCUUUAUCGUCGUAUAAUUGGAAUGAGUACAAUUUAAAUCCCUUAACGAGGAACAAUUGGAGGGCAAGUCUGGUGCCAGCAGCCGCGGUAAUUCCAGCUCCAAUAGCGUAUAUUAAAGUUGUUGCAGGUAAAAAGCUCGUAGUUGGACCUUGGGCCUGGACGGGCGGUCCGCCUCACGGCGUGUACUGUCUUGCCGGGCCUUUCCUCUUGGUGAUCUGUUGUUUCGGCAGCAUGGAACCAAGACCUUUACUUUGAAAAA